rnacentral:snRNA from 1 species
AUACCGUGAUCAAUUAGGCGGUUCCCCCAGGGCGAGGCCGCUUCAUUGCACUGCGAAGCGGUUGACCCUUGCGAUUAUUCCUAAUGCGAAUAACUCGGACGCGUAAUUUUUGGUAGUGGGGA